UAUUGGCCUGAAAAUAUUUACAUAUUCAGUUGCUUAUCUAUUUUCCUAUUGAUCUUUUUUUAACUUCCUGAGGUCAGAGAAGGUACCAAAAAGAGUGGUAAGUAGCUUUCACUCAGGGUCUUUUUUGUUUGUUUUCCUUGAAUUUUAAUCUCUCAAAAGGACCUUGUACAAUUUUUCUCAUUGUGGUUUAAAAAAAUUUGCCAUAAAACUAAUCAUCUUACCCAUUUUAAGUGUACAGUACAAUAGUGUUAACUGUAUAUGUACCUUGUUGCACACAAUUUUUUUUGACUUGGCCUGAGUUACAAUCUUACAUGUGCUUCUAACAGGGUGACUCUGAGUGAGGCAUUUAGGGGGGAGAAAAAACAAUGUGGAGGGGCCAGAUGAAACAAGAUUAGCACAAUGAGGAUAACUUUUGAAAUGGCUUUUUUUUUUCUUUGAGACGGAGUCUCACUCUGUCACCCAGGCUGGAGUACAGUGGUGCGGUCUCGGCUCACUGCAACUUCCACUUUCCAGGCUCAGGCGAUCCUCCCACCUCAGCCUCCCAAGUAGCUGGGACUACAGUGGCGUACCACCACACCUGGGUAAUUUUUAUAUUUUUAGUGGAGGUGGGAUUUUACCAUGUUGGCCAGGCUGGUCUCGAACUCCUGACUUCAAGUGAUCCACCCACCUCGGCCUUCCAAAGUGCUGGGAUUACAAAUAUAUAUAUUUUAAAGGCAGCAGAAAUAGACAAAACUCAGUCUUAUUUCAGGACUACAGUUGGUGUUCUUAAAAGGUCAGAGGAAGAGAUGAAUAUAUCUAGAGGUCAAGUACAGCAGCCUGCAGGGUAUGGGGCCAGGUCAGGAUGGAGUGUAGAAGCAGUAUUUGAGGAAGGGCACAGAUAGAAAUUCCUGAUCCAGCUAGAUUUGGCUCUCAUAAACCCUCCAGUGAAGGGCCGUUUCCUGUGAAGCCUGUCUCUUGCUCAUUGCUGUCAGCCCCAUUUCCUCUAAAAGUUGGCCCACACCUUCCAUUGUCCUUUAUGGCCUCUGGAUACAGGACCAUCUCCACGCAACACCUCUGUUGCGUUCUCUCAGCAAGAUGAUCAAGAAUUUCUUUACUUACUUCGGCAAGUGUAGGAUCUGCUCAUUUCUGGGACACUUUGGUUUUUGCCCUGAACAUCUGAUUAAGUAUCUCUCUUCAGUGGUUGGGUGCCUGCAGCCAUCUCUGUAUUACCUUUUGAGAGUUGUUUUCAUUCUGAUGUACAGGAUCCACCUCACCCUGUUCAUCUCCGAACUACCGACCUCUCCAACCUCACAUUUGACUUUCUGUAAACUCCAGCUGGAGCUGCUGAGAGCAGAGAGUUGGGAUAUAUCUCAAAAACCUCAAGAAUACAUUUUGAUGUGAGAGUGCCAAAGAUGGUCCUAGCAACCCCAGGAGUAGGAAGGCAUCACUUUCAGUUCUGAUAAGGACCAAGAUUCUGAAGGGCAGAGGAUGAGAGCUCAGGUCUUAUCACCUUUCCGAAGGUGGAGAUAGAUGUAGCGCCCCUUGCCAUCCUGAUAUGGAAGUAUGCAUAUACCCCCUCUCCCCCAUUUACUUUGUGAUUUUGAUAUUUUUUCCUCUAGUAAAUCCCCAAGUGAGGUCUUUAAAAAAUGUGAGAAGGGAAAAGAGGAUGAAAAGAAUUAGAUUGGGAUUGAGGUAAACAUAACAGCAUAACUGAAGAGCUUGAAGAAUUGCGAUGUGGAGGGCAAUAACACUAACCCUGGCACUGUUAAUAGUGACUUGGUGAGUAACUUAUAUGUAGAUUUCCUUUUACUUAGAACCUGCUACUCCAUCUACCUCUCUUAAGCUGUAGUGUUUCUUUAAUGGAGGAGGAAGGAAAGACGUUGGCUUACAAUUUGCUGCCUAAUCUAAUAUUUGGUUCUCAUGCACUGAUUUAACAGAUAUGUAUUGAGCACCUACCUUUGUUAGACCUUGAACAAGAUACUGGACCCAGUGCAAUAGGCAGGAUCAACUCAGACCCCGCUUCUAAUAUAGGAACUGCACACUGGCCUGUAGACAUGUUCUCUUUGGUCCACACAGUUAUAAACACUGCAGUGUUUUUUUUUUCUCUUGAAAAACUGGUUGAUUUGGCCCCCUGGACCUGCAUCCUCACAUGGCAAAGUCAGGGAAGUGGCAGGGGUAAGGGGUUGCUGAGAAAUGUCUGCCAUGGUCAAUAGAGGCACAUGUUCUGCAACCUUCCCUGGCCUCUGUCUCUCAUCGUGUUAGCUAUUUUUGUCCUUGGUGGAAUCUUGGUUGGGAUUACUCCAUCUUCACAUGCUUCUCUUCACAGGGAUCAUCCUGUGGGCUGGGGAGCCUGGGAUGAGAGUGGGACAGAAGCUGAGUUGGGAUGGGAAGUGUGGCUCCCUGCUGCUCUCCCUAUGAGUGGGCGAUGCCCCAGAGCUCUGCCCCUGAGCAGUGCCCCUGAGCUAUGCCCUUCGUCGAGCCCUUCCCAGGCCACUGCUGCACAGCUUUUUGGCUGCGCAGUUGCUUUGUACUCUUCGGGAUUAGAAUUUCAGAAAGGGGAAGUCAUGCCACCAGCUUUUGUAACUCUCCCAUCCAUGAACUUCUGUUCUUGACAGUUGUGCUCUUUGUUUGUUUGUUGAAGUCCACCUGUGGCAUUAUUCCUGCCUCCACACCGGUGUCUUGACAGCCCUUCCUUCAGCCCUUCCUGCCUAGGGGACCCUUUCCUUCCUGCUCAUGGGAGUGCUGCUCACCUUUGAAAGCACAGCCUGCCUCCCCUUCCUGAAGGCUCUUCUAGCUUCUACCAAAACACUUGACUUUAUCUGUUUUACAUUUUGGGCUUUCUCAUAAAUUUUCUUUGAAGAAAACAUUGCAAAGCUCAAGGUAUAUAAUAAUAUAAGGCAUGUUGUCUUAUAUUAUUCAUUGUCUUUCCUAAUCUUCAUACCUCGUCUCUAAGAUUCCAUCAUGAAUUCUGGAGAACAGGGUCUCAGUCCUGUAUAUUUCUACUGUCCCAGAGCCCAGCCACUGCACUGUAAAUCAUAAGGUUGAAAAUCAAUAUUUGUUGCAGGAGUGAAUUAAAAUAUUUCCUUCCCUGAUUUUCAGAGCACAGAGUUUAGAGAUGAUACAAAUUUAAGUUUUUCAUACCCUGCGACCACCUCCUUCUAUUACUUGCUCCUCUUAAAAUGUGUAGUUUUGAAAAUGGGAGCCAUCUUCUCUUUGUCUUUGCUCAUCCUUCAGGUUCCUUUCACCUAUCUCUUAAGUCUGGGGCUAAAAGUAAAGGACAGGUGGGGACAGGUAGUGACAGGCCUGGCUGGAGCAUCUCUGGGAGCUGAGCUACCUGACUUGGGGGGAAUGCAGGGGAGGCUGGGCCCUUUGACAAGGUUUAGGGUGGAGACCACAGUCCUCUCAGAAACACUCCGAGGAUUCCCAGACUCUCUUGUUAAGAAACUGUACAUACAACAUGGUGUCUCCCACUGGAGACCUCAAAUACCAGGGCAAGGUAAAAAGAUGGCUGAACUGGGAAUUGGUAGCCCUGAUUUACUUGCUAACCCCACUGCCUAUUUAUUUAACCUUAGGCAAGUCACUAAACUUUUCUAGGUCUGUUUCAUCUCAUUUUGAGAAUUCGAUAUGGGAGAGCCCUCCCAGCAUGAUUUCCCUGCUGGUUGUGAAUCUCCUCUGACUCAGCAGACAAUGCUUUAUGCCAGUAUUCCUCUGCAGUUUCACAAGAGGGCACUAAGCCUCAGAGGGUGUGAGCAUGAAAGGGCCAGAGGCAAACAUACAAUUUAUUUCCAGUCUCUGCCGUAUCUUCAAGUGGGAUUUUUUGUAUUCUAAUCUUCACUAUAGCUAUGUUUUCGUAUUUAAACAAUUUAAAAUUUAUUUUUACAAAUUACAUUAUUUAUUGUCCUUAGAUUUUGUAGUGUAAGUUAAACCCCAAGGAUAUGGAACAUGCCUAUCCCCUGGUUUUGUAAAUUCCCUGGAGUGUCCGCAUGCUACUUAUAGCUAUAUUGUUCAUGGUCAGUUUUAAAUUACAAGAUGGAUGGAGAUUAUGCCUCAUUAUAAUUAUUGCAUAUGCAUAUAGCAAUUAACUUAACCCCCACCCCAUAACCCUAUGUAAAAGGUACUGUUCGUUACUCAUUUUAUAGACGGAAAACUGAAGCACAUAGAUGUUCAGUGAAUUGCGCAAAGGUACACAGCUUGUAAAUGGUGUAGCUGGGAUUAGACCUGGCCAGUCUGUGUUCUUAGCCUCACUCUAUAAUCCUGCCUCUAUGGUAAACUAAUUUAGGGAAGCCAAUUGAUUUUUUUUUUUCAGAUAAUGAUCUGGUAAUUUUGGUGUUACUUUUCACACAGCAUUUUUAGAAUAAAUUUUGACGUCGUUUGCAGGCACCUAUUUUGCCUAGAGUUCAAGAAACUCAGUGGUGGGGCCUGAUGUUCUCAAUUACUGAGAGCUCAGGUCAGCCUCAGUUCUGUGGCUACAGAUAGAUUCUACCUGGUGUGCACAACUAGCCAAUUCCAGAGAGGCACCACAUAAGGCAGGCGGGGCAGGGGCUGCCUCUGACUAGAGUGAUUGGUGUCACUGCCAGAGAGAAAAUCAAUCUGAAGUUUGUCUCAUGAUUCCAGAUGAUGGAUCUGCAUAAGCCAUGUAGUUGGAUGUUUUCAAACAAUGUGACUAAGAUACGAAAGAUACAGAUAUUAAAGUUGCUGUAGUGGCUUUGUAGUAUUAUUUGCUAUUGAUGCACUUUGCUUACAAUUCAUUGUGUUUCUUAGCUGUGUAAACAAAAAGCAAGUGCCAUUUAUUACACACAGUUCUGUUUUAUGCUUGUGGUUUAACGUUUGCCAAAUAUUUCAAUAUAUAGCCACAGAUCACUCUGCAUGACAUUAACAACAACAAAGUCUGUCUGUUUCUUUGUUGUAAAAAAUUGGGAUCGGCCCAUGGGCCUACUGUAUAUCUCAAUGUGGCAAAGGCAGCAAUAAAAUGUCACAGAGGAGAACAAACUAGCCUAUAUCUAAAGAGAAGAUUUUAAACAGACAUAUGGCAUAGAGUUAGGCAAUUGGAAGAAAGCUUUCAUAUGUUGCUACUUGGGAACCUAUUGACAUACUUUUAUGGGUGCUCAUGGGUUAUUUUUCUGUAGUGCACCACCGAAGGCCCAUCUCUUGACAAUGCACUGAAUCCCAUCAUCCUGUCUUCUAAUCAAGGUUUCUGCAAUUGUCCCUGUGGUCCCUGGUGGCAUCUGUUCUUGCACCCACAUUGCCUUCCAGCUACUAUACCAUAUCUCUGAAGAGUUGUUGUCUCUAUUUACUGCCGCACAUACCUCUCCUCCCAUGCUCUGCAGUCCUCACUCCAGUUAGGCUUGGUGUUCCCCUCCCCACCCCCAAAUGACUCUCUGACAAAAUCGCCCGGGACCUCCACCUUUCAAAUUCAGUGUUGAGUCCCCAGUCUUCAUCUUAUUCAGCCUACUGGCAGGAUCUGGCCCAACCAAUCAUGCCCUCUUCCUUGAAAGCAUUUUUUUUUCACUUGGCUCCUUGAUGUCACACUUGGUCCUUUGCCUACCUAGAGGGUGAUCCAUGCCAAUCUUCUUUGCUGAUCCUCCUGGCAUUGCUUCAGCCUCUUCAUAUUCAAGUGCCUCAGGCCUCCACAACUUCUGUAACUGUCCUCACUCCCAAAUUAUCUAGUCCCUUGACAUUAAAUGUCACUUAAACACUGACGAUUUUAUCUUGGAACUCUGCUCAAUUUCAACCGUUUUUUCUACCUCUCUGCUUGGAUAUCUGAUUGGCAUCUCAAGCCUAGCAUGUCCAAAGCUUAACUCUUCAUUUCCUUCUACACACUUUCUCACCCCUGCCAUACCUAAACUGCCCCAUCUUGGUAAAUGUCAGUGCCAUUUUUAAAAUUGCAAAAUCCUAGUGCUGCUAUUGACCUCUGUCUUUAGCUUCUACUCCACAUUAGCAAAUCAUGUCUGCUCUUCUUUUAAAAUAGAUCUGGAAUCUGACCACUUAUAAUCUCCACUGCUACCACCUAGUUCAGGCAGCUGUCAUGUCUUAUCUGGAGGUGAUCAGUUGGGUGCCCUGUUCCACCCUUGCCUUUGGAAUCACCCUGGAAGGAUUCUUAGAUCUCUCCCAAUCUACUCACGUGGGUUUCCAUUUCUCUCGGAGUAAAGACCAUAGCCCUUGUAAAGACAAUGGCCUAGAAAGUCCUAUGUGAUCUGCUCUCCCAUCUCUACCAAACUCAGUCAGUCUCAUAUCCCUCUUCAUUCUCCCUUGAUCAUUUUGCUGUGGUGACACUGGCUUGUUUACUGUCUCUUUUACAAGUUUGCUCUGCCUUGCCCUCUCAUUUGUUGCCUAGAUAUUUAUGAAACCUACUACUUCUCUUCCUUUAGAUCUUUGUUUAAAUGCCUACUUGAUCAGAGAGGCUUUCUUUCACUGAUCACCCUAAACAAAAUAAGUUGCUCCUAACCCUGCUCCCACCCCCAUGUCCCAGGAUUGCCUGCCUUCUCUAUCCUGCUUGAGCACUCAUCACCGGGAGCAUAUUAUGUAGUUAUUUGGUUAUAUUUCCUUCCCCUUUAGACUGGACAGGGAAUUUGUCUCUUGUUCUUUGCUGUAUCACCUUAACCUAGUGCAGUGCCUGGAAGUUAGUAAGCACUCAAUAAACAGUUUUUAAAUGACUGAGUGAAUUUCCUAGGCAAACUGGUCAGAAAUAGGCUACAGAGAAUGGAAGAGUGGCUGUACCUGUCAUUUAAUAUGCUCUCAAUACGAUUACAUUUAUUGAAAUAAGAUUUUAUUCGUGAUGAAACAAAAUGCUAUUGGGCAUACAGAAAGGCAUGAGAAAACCAGGCACUAAAUUUAAUAUUAGUCAAGCAAAUGUUCAUAGUUGGAGAAAUGAUUGAAGCUGUGUUAUGUUUUGUUACUGAGUUACAUUCAGAAGGACUGCUGAUCACACGACAAGCAAUGCAACUCAAGGCAGAAGAAAUUGCCAAAUCCCCCAGAACAAAGCAGUGAGGAACUAGUUUGACUGUCACCCAAGACUGUCUUUAAGGCAUUGUGUCAUAGUUAAUUGGCAAAGUUUGUUUCUUUCCUAAUGAUACAUAAAAUAAUGAAGUGUCUUACAAUCAGCAGAGUUUUAGCUUGGAUAAAAUAGGGUGGGUCUCUUUUCUAGAUCUUAGAAUGAUAAAAUGAAUUUAUAAAUCUUAAUUUUGCCAUUUACAGUUGUUAGUUUACUUCUUAGUUUCUAAGAUAACAAAUGUUACUCUUCCGUAUUAGUUAAACCAAGAAGGGAGAGGUUUGGCCAGACACUUGUGUAUCAUUUCUUGGUUUCCUUACUGAAUGUCUUUCUCCAAGCAUUAGGUACAGAACUAGCAUAAUUGGGACCAAUUAUCCAGUCGUGAGUUUUGACUUUUGUUUCUCAUGAUUAGCUUGAAGAUAAUUUUUUCAGACAGCUGCUGGUUUUGUUUUUCAAUUUUUUUUGAAAUAAUUAUAGGUUCCUAAGCAGUGAUAAAAAUAGUACAGAGAGGUCUCGAGUAUCCAUCAGCUAGUUUCUCCCCAUAGUGACAUCGCCCAUAACUAUAGCACAGCUGCAGUUUUUAAUAGAUCAUUUUGUUCUUUUCCCAUGACCUGUUGGAGUAGGAAUAGAGAGAUCAGGUAAUUUCGUUAUGCUCUAAGCCGCCUCGCUUUAGGAGGGAGUGUUUCUGGUCACAGGUGGUGAGCCCAGAGGCAGAGUUGCUAUAGAGGGACUAAUACAUUGAUUUUCAUGACCUAGAGGAAAUAAUCACUCAGGUUAAAAUGUCUUCAAGAGUUAGUGGCCUGAAGCUCUCCAACAGAGAAACUCUUAAUUGAUUUGUUUUUGCUUCAGCACAGCUUUCUUUUGAAGCAAUCAUUUUAGAGUGAUUUCAGGUGCUCCAAAAACCCUCUUGAAAUAGAUCAACUUAAAGAUCUAGAACCUCAUUUGGAAGGGAUGUGAGGUCAACCUGACCCAUUGGAUAGGGUGAUUUCCCCCUUAAAGACCCAGCCAGGUCACUGUUGCAGUUCUUCUUAAGAUCCUUCUCUGCUUAAGGCCUCUGUCCAGUUUCCACAUGAUGGACUUUUCUUACCCACAAAUCAGACAACAGACAGGUACCUCUGUGCUUUCCUUUUCUCCUUCCCGUUAAAUACAUCUGCGUUCUCAAAUCUUGUGGUGGUUUUAGCUACCCACUCCUGACCUCCCUCCUACUUGCUACUUCUCCACAGGCUGCAGUUUUUUGAUAGCUUGGCCACGUCCUAGAGAGAAGAUAAUGGUGGUAGAUUAAGGGGUGAGCUGAGAGAGGUACAUUAUAGAAAAAAUAUGACAGAAGGUAUUUGGUACAAGAUUAGAAACGAAAGCUCAUUAUUAAAAUUAUAUUCUUCAAAUGAGGGUAGUGCCUUCCUUAUCCUGUUUCUCUUUCCUAUUUCUAUUAUUUGUUAUCUUUCACUUGCACUUUUGGACACCCUGUACUGUCUUCUAUCCCUUGAAGCCAGACUUCUAGGGUAUGGUCUGCAUUGUGAGGGGCCCUGAUACCCCUAUCACCUCGGUCCAAAUACUCACCUUUUGUUUUCUGCUUCUGCUGACUCUUUCACUACAUCACCUCUCAGCCAAGACCACCACCUCCACCUCCACCUCCACCUCUAUCUCCACCUCCACCUCCACCUCUGUCUCCACCAUUGUCCUUCACCUCUACCUCAUUUCCAUCAUUGUCCUUCACCUCUACCUCAUUUCCAUCAUUGUCCUUCACCUCUACCUCAUUUCCAUCAUUGUCCUUGCCCAAAUGCCUGGCCUUCAAGUUGUCUCUGCUGCUGUUUUUUAUUCUUUUCUCUUAUCACUAGAUGAGAACCACGUCAUGUCAGCAUAGUUAGUGACUAUGCUGAGACCAAACAGUCUUAAAUUCAUGUAUACUCGCUCAGCAUCAAUGAUGCCUUUGAAAAUUCUGAUUCUCCCCAGAUAAAAUAUCAGAAUGGCAACCCCUGCCCCCUGCCCCUGACCUUCAGCCUCAAACAUCUGGCAUUUUGGGAGCCGAUAAAACCCAUACAGAGUGCCCAAGGACUCUUUUCUUCAGAGGGCUGGAACUCUGAGAAUUUUCCCCUGCAAUUGCUAUUUGAAAUAUUUUUUUAAAAAAGAGAGAGAGAACUAAAAUAUGAACUGGAAAUUUCUGGAAACUGCCAGCCCCUUGCAAUAGAUGCUGGUCAGGAUGUGACAAAAUUGGGUUUGGGAGUAUUAUUUCUACUACAUAGGAAGUUAGUUGAGAGAGCACUGACUUGAAAGGUAGAAGGUCAAAUACUGCAAUACAAUUAACUUGGCUUAGGUGGGAUGGUAGAGAACCUGAGGGUUGGGGGUAGAGGUAGCCAAGUCACCUGUUCUAGAAACAGAUCUGGCCCAUUUUAUAUGAACCCAAUAUUGAUAUAUCUUUGUAGAUUAUGUAAAUAUAUUUUGACUAAGGUCUCCAAAAUUGUUAAUGUUCUAUAGGCAGACUUAGGGAUAUGCAAACUUGGGCAUACAAAUUAUCAUCCCUAAAGAGCUAGCUCAUCCUUACAGAUUAAAAUUUCCAAAUUGAGGAACACAUAGAAAUAGAGAAGUAAAAGCCUUGGCUUAUUCAGAGUGGUCUUGAAUUUAUUUGGAGACCCCAGUAAAGAUGCUAGCACAAAAAACAGUGUUAUAUAAAUAGAAAUGAACUUUGGAAAACCCGACAAUGUGAUAAAGACUCUAUUCUCUGAGCUCCUGGGUGUAGAAUAUUCUGUAAGGGUACUAAUUCACAGAGAACAUUUGCUUAUCUAAAGAAUAUCCAUACCUAUGUUUAAUAAAGGAAAAAAUCAUGGGUAGGUAACUAAGCGGACAAUGUAUUUUAGCUCAUUUGUGUAGUAAAACAUGUAACAGAAUCUCAGUAGAGUUCAAAUAUGCCCUCUUGACUUCCUAAUGCAUAGACUCCAUUAAAAUAGUAUUUUAGUUGUCCAAGCCUUCCCCCUUAGCCAUUUUACACCUGGUAAUAACUAUGUAAAUUCAGAAAAACAGAUUUUAUAUGUUUUGAUCCAUCUUUUUCUUAAUAUUACUCUUAGUAAAUUCUCACAUUGAUGAAGAUCUGCUUAUUUCACCCUAAGGCAAUUCAAAAGUUCUGUAUGACAACUUUAUUCUCACUGCCAACUAUUAGGAAAGGAAUGCCCACUUUUCCCUGAGGGCGUGUUGUUGCAUGCAGCAUUCCCAUUGGAAUGCUCUUGAGAGGUUGAACUCAUUUUCUGAGCAAUUGUUUUUAUAAAUUCAAUAUUUUGCUUCCAGUGCUCAUGGCCAGAUAGUGUAUAACCUGGUCUCUACCGAGUAUUAUCCAUGCUGUUUUCACACUUACCUCCAAGGGCCAAAGAUUAUCUCACAGAAGCUCCGAAAGAAUUCCUGUUUCUGAAAUUCAUGUGUAAAAGGAAAUUUUUAAAGGGAAGAGGGUGAUAAUUGAGUUCAAAGUCUGAAGAAUUUUUGUCAAGGAUUAUAUUGAUUAAUAACAAAAGCUCUCUGGCAUUUUCAGGCAGACAUGUGAAAAAAAGUAGUGAUUGUAAUUAAUUUUUAGUGAGUGCCGCAUAUUUGAUAAUUGCUCUGAUUCACGCUAUUAUAUUCCUCUUCCUUCACCCACAGCAAAAUAAGCUUAAUUUGAUUCAUACCCUUAGGAAGAAAAAAAAAAGCCUAAGAUUACUCACAUGGCUGUGAUUCAGCUCUUGGCUCUCACCACCUCCUCCUCCUCCUCAUCCUCCCUUUCUCCCACCCUGCCCACUCCCAUGUUCACUCCCACCCAGUGGUGUUGCCAUCAAAAAACUGAGUCAGUUUGUUCUUUAAAAUGGGUGGGGAAAGAAGACAACUAAUAAAAACUUUUCUGAGCGAAGUAUACUGCUUAGAGCUGAAAUCAUUGCAGGAAGACAGGCAAAGCGGCUACUUACAUAACAUGAGAAGCUUGAAACAGAGGCCAGCCCUCAUAAAGAAAUGUUCAGAUUCUUAUAUAAGACUAGUAUAGCUUGUGUGCAUGUCUGUAGAGGCAUACACAUAGCCAUGGAGGCAGGUUUCUAUGAAAAACCUCUGAUAUUGUGGAUCUUACAUAAAAUGUAUACAGAAAGAAUCUUGUUUUCAAAGUAGGAUACUUUGCUAUAAUCAAAAAGUGAAUAUAGAAGCAAUCCAAAGAUUUUUGAUCAUUGCAAAACAUAGGUGAUAAAGACAUUUUGUUUGCCUUCAAAUGAACGUGUGACUUGGCAGCUUGAGGUUUUUUUGUUGUUGUUUGUUUUUUUGUUUUGUUUUGUUUUUUUUUGUUUUUGACAGUGUCUUGUUCUGUUGCCCAGGCUGGAGUGCAGUGGCACAGACCACAGCUCACUGCAGCUUUGAACUCCUGGGCCCAAGUGAUCUUCCCAUCUCAGCUUCCCAAGUAACUGAGACUACAGGCGCACACCACUGUGCCUGGCUAAUUUUUUUAUUUUAUUUUAUUUUAUUUUGUAGAGAUGAGGUCUCACUAUGUUGCCCAGGCUGUUCUCAAACUCCUGGGCUUAAGCAAUCCUCUCACCUCGGCUUCCCAAAGUGUUGGGAUUAUAGGCGUGAGCCACUGCACUCGGCCACAAGAUUGUUUUUUGUUUCUCUCCUGAGGAACUGUAAGGUUAGUACUGAAGGUGACAGCUCACCCUUAGAGAGCUGAUGGUGGUAGCAGACAUAUUGAGGCAGCAGUCUCUGUUCCUUGCUUGUAUUUUUUCGCUUAUUCCCAUUCUUCAGAUGAAGUAAAAGCCUUAGAGAAAUGAAGGGACUCUUCUAUGUCCCCACAGGUAAUUGCCUCAGAGACAGUAUUACAACCCAGGCUGUUUGUCUUUACCCUGACUUGUAACUUUGGUUUCUGGGAGCCUGACACAGUUGGAUCGUUUGGUAUUUUAGAACUUACCCAAGACAGGAGUGGCGGUGGACAGGAAGCUCCAUGCUGGAGCUCCAAACCAGCCUUGAACUGAACUGUUGAAUCAGGUCUGUGUGCAUCUUCAAACUGGGCUGCGACAUGGAGGGGAACAGAAUGGAGCCUUCCCCCAUCACUCAUUUGUAAUCCCAACCACCCUCUCUUCAUUUUGCUGGCUUUUCCCCCAUUAUGUUACCAUCUGUCUCCAAAACAUUGCCUGGGUAAAGACAAACUGGAGCAGUUGCUCGCCCUCAAACAAAACACAGAACUACUUCUCCUCACUCCCAUUCCCCCCCACACUAGUGCCGAGCACCAUAUUUGAGGAAUUCCAUAUUUAUAAAGCUUGCCUGCACCUCGAUGAUGUCUGCUUGCUGUCCUUUUUAUUAUUCUUCAAAUAUGUUAUGUGCUGACUGGAAACGAUUAGCUUUUGUUACUGAGGGGUUUGUGGGAUGCUUGAAACAGCUUCAGAUAGUUCUCAGAUGGAAAUGCAUGCUGUUUGCUCCUUUAAGAAACGCAAUUUCUUAAUGAAAGACAGCAUAGAGGAGAAUGCAUACUGAGGUUCCCCACCCAACUCUCUGGGUUUCUCCUAGGGUAGUUGUGGUAGGGUUUUAUGUCACGGCCCUGUGGAGCGAAUAAACAGUGGAUCUUGGGUGUUUUUUUCUGAGUCUGUACCCAUCUCUUCAUGCCUCUGACUAGGGGCCCUUGUUAAUGUCAAGGGCAGUGCUCUGUCCCCAACAGAGCUGUAGUGUUGCCCCCAGUCUCUGACCCACUCACCUUCUUUCCUGGCUGAUGACACUUCCAAUGUCCUGACACAUCUGGGCAAAGUGGAAUUGGAGUUCUUAAAUGCCCUCUCUGGCUGGCCCCAGCUCGAUUCUGCACUGGCCUUAGCAGGCUCCAGGAAGUUUGGAGAGGAAAGACCCAAACAGAUCUCAGAUGUAAAACUGGAUGAGUAUUUCAACUGCUGAAACUUUAGGAGGAAAAUAUGGAUGGGCUACGUGUUUGUCAACAUUAGUAAAAUAGUUACUAGUGAUUCUUUUUUUAAAAAGUUAUGGAAUCAUAUUUUUCUCAUUCAGAAGUGUUACUUAGGGAAUGACUGAAAUGUGUAUGACUCCAGAGUUCUCUGUCAGACACUGUUCUCAGCACUUAACAUAGAAUCAUUUUUUAAUCCAGGUGCCACAGCUAGGAACAGCAGAACCAGAAGUCAAAUCCCAGCAAGUCUGACUCCAGAAGCUAGACUCCUCAGAGAUGUCAUAGGUCCUUUUAGAUGCCAGAGUUUUAGAUGUUCCAUUUUAUUCACAUUCUAUUUUCAUAGCCUGUGUUUAUUUCCAUUGAAAGCCAUAUAAUUAUAGACUUUAUGUUCUGUAUCUUAGCAAGGUAACUGUCUUUAAGCCAAUAAAACUUAAUACAUUACUACUGAAGUGUGAAUAAGUUUUAAUAACUGAGAAAUACAUACACAUGGUUAAAGUAGAAUUCAAAAGUGUAAUUUGGAAGUGCUCUCAAAAUAGUUUCGUGUGAUUUUAAUUUCUGAAAAUCAAUUCUGUAUGUAAAUUGAAUGUAGUGUUUAUUCCAGUAAAACCCUGCAGGAAGUCUUUUUAUAAAGUGAAUAAUCAACUCCUGAAUUAACUGUUAUACAUGGUUUCAGUGUGUAUACCUUUUCUGUGCUCUCAUCUACCAAUCUGAAAAUUAGAUAUCUGAACAUUUUUCUGUGUUUCAAAUGUUGGAUGUAUUUCCUGUAUUGUAAUAAAACUAGUUAUCCAUCAAGGCAUAAUCAACAAUAAAUGCCAAGCCUUAGUCAGAGCAGUUGCUGACUUUGCUCAAGGUUAAAGGAAGUAUGCUGAAAAGAGAUAACUGUAGUUAAAUUGCUCAGCCCAAGCCUUCCAGAUUUUUCAUGUGGGGAAUUGCACUUCUUAUUACUGUAUUCUUCCUGUCUACAUAAUACCUGGGAACAAUUUACUCCAUGUAAUGCCACUCCCAUCUUGGUAGUAAAGUUUUUACUGAAGAGGAAGACUACAAGGGCAUGUCAGUAUAUUUAAUUGGAAUUUUCACUGGUGAUUUUCAAGUUUUUAUUUCACAGCUUUUAGGCAGGUCGAGACUAAAGGACUGUACAGAUUUUUUGGUGAUGUGAUUGUAUUACGUGUGUGCUGUGUGUGAGUAGCUCAGCUUAGAGUGUCAAUUGCAGUAAAUGCAAAAGUGAAAGCUGCAACAUGGCUCUCAUGCUCCCAACCACUUCCUGAAGAACCCACCACGCGGGCCCCAGACUUAGAGACUUGAAUCUUCAGGAUGGAAAGAGUCCAAGUCCCUCAUGGUAAAGACCUCAAGUAAACCUAAAUGUAGAAAACCUGUUUGCUACUCUUGUGUGAAUUAAAACGUUUGGUUGCCUCCAUUGUAAAAAUUUCAGUGCACAAUUCUGAAAUUUAAAAUAUUAGGGAACAGAGCCAGAGCGUUGCCAUACCUUAAAAAUAAUCUUGCAUCUCUCCUGUUCACAUGAUUCAAUUCUUGAAACCAGUUGGAAUGUGCGUCCUGAUCUCUAAAUGUACAAGUUAUUUAAAAAAAAUGUGAGCUUGUCAGCUUAGCUACAGCCACCAGUCUAAUAAAACUGAGUCACAUCCAAAUGGGCUGCACUUAAACUACCCUCCCAUUCUAGGGAAAACGUGGCUGGAGGAGGCAGUCUGAGUCAUCACCUGGUUUGUUUGACAUACACUUCCUUCCAUAAAUUGGGAAUGGCAAGCGGCACAGUGUUCUGGGCUUGCCUGGGAGAAGGAGCUGUUGCAGCCUUGCACGAUCAAAAUAGGGCCUUUAGGUUUGAAGGAUGAGGUUGAGCCCAUAUUUUGACUCCAAAUGUCGGGGGAGGGGAGAAGUCGUCGACAGAUCCAAACAAGGAACAUUUGUAAGUACCAUUUUUGGAGGUCGGAGCAAUGGUAGGGGUGUUCACAGUUGAAUUUCUUCCUAAACAUAAAAGGUGUUUAAGAGACAAAUUGGGGGCAUUCAAAUAAAAAUAAAUGGGUAUCUAGUUCACAAAGUGGGCUCGUUUACUUAACAAGAGUAUCCUUGAUGUGUAUGAUGUGUACAGUUUAAAAUGAUUGAGAGAGAGAUGAUUUGGUAGUUACCAUACGAAUCUGUUCUGACAAUGUUUAAUUUCACUUAAUUUAUUUAACUAUUUUAAAAGAAAUGUAUUUCACUUAGGAAUCUUUUCAUGGCAAAUUUGAAUCUCCUUCAGGGGUAUUUUGAGGGGAUGGGAAGAGAGGCUCAUGUGUCUCGCACAUUUUCUUACAGCGGUUUUGCAGAGGCUCACUGGAGCUUUUUAAAAUAAAAAAGUUUAGAAUGUAAAAUUAUUGGAGACUAUAGAGGAAGGGGAAGGAGGAGUAGAUUUAUAGCUGAAGUGGGUUUGUAAACUCAGCGUCUGCUUUGGGAUUAUUUUUUAAUAUGUGCCAGACAUUCUUCUGAUUUUCAUCCUGGCUUGGUUGUGGCUCUUUCUCUGUCUGUGUGAGGCUGGGGUGUUCCCUGUUUUAAAGCCGUAGUUGUCGCAGCCUGGGCGUUUUCUGUUUCGGCUUAUGGCUUUUUUUCUCUUUUCCUGAAUGAGUGUCCUUUGUGUAACCCCAGUAAUUCAGAAAUCCUGCAGUCAUAGGGACUGCCCUAUCAUGUGACUUAGGUACUAGGUGCUGGCUGCGAUUGGUCAGCAGCUAAUUGGCGGGUCCCUAUAAGAGGUCUUGGGUCGGGCGUCCGGCCACUCUCCUGCCUGGGCUGCUGCUCAACGGGGGCUGGGGGUGUGUGGGGCGGGGGUGGUCUGUCCAGUGAUUCAGCCACAUGUGAUAGAUGACCAAGUGACUGCUUUCUUGGAGUCCGCACACCAGUGGAAGACUCUCAAAGUGGUUGUGACCGACUUGAUCAAACUCUAGGCUUCCUGAACUGGAAUGAAAUGCAGAUAACUCUUUAGAAAACUUUUGUAGGAAAAGCGCCUCGUGUGAUCUGGAACAAAGACGUUUUAUAAUCAGAUUUAUCAAGCUGCGAAGAGGGAGUUUUAGUGAACGGAAGCAGCAGCAUUCUGUCACCAGGAAAUACUCCUUUAUCCAGAAUUGGUAAGUGAAAAGUGGCAUUGCUCCCUAAUAGAUAUCAUAUGUGUGUGUGGGAAUUGAAAAAUUGUUCACAGACCCCUAACAACUGUGUUGAACAGAGAACACAUAAACAGUGAGGAGUUCUAAAAAAGAGCAGCACGAGAAUACCGCAUAAGACUGAGAAGAAGCCAGGUAAUUAACAAAAAUGAGCUGAGUGCUAUCAGUUUAGCUAAACAUAUGUAAUACAGCUAGAUUUGGUUGUUUUAUUUUUUCUUGUUAGUGGAGGAGAAACAUAAAAUCAGAAUGGGCUGUUUAGUAGAAUUGCGACAUUAACUUUCCAUGGAUGUAGAUUUCCAUUUAGUCUGAAUAGCAUGUAUGAAAUUUGAAGGGAUGCUUUCAGAAUUAGUCUACUUGCCCUCCUUUCCUUUCCUCUGCAUUAAGAUGUCAAGUAUUUAGUUAGAACCUUACAAGAUGAAAGUUGUACAAAAUGAAAGUUCAAGUAAUGCGUCGGAAACACCUCUCCUGAUUGGGAAGGGUAGAUUACAAUGGCAAUAGAUUUUUGUUUUUUGUUUCUUACAUUUGUGUCACGAAUUUUAAGUUUGUUCUAUUGGAUUACAUUAGUACAGCAAAAGGGGGGUUAUUUCUAUCUAUAUGGUUCAUGACAUUUUGAGAGGUUGUGAUUAGUAGUUCUUACUGGUUUCGUAUGCAUGUUCCUGCCUGUUGAAUUCAGUUUUCUAAUCUUGAAUCUGAGCUGCCUUUAUGUUAAAGCGUUCUAGAAAAAGACAAUAAAGCUUUGAAUACCUGUGUUAUAUACAACAGGUUCCUGUUCAUGAUGUAUAAGGUAACGCAAUUUUAUUUUAGGCAUGAAUGUCUAAUUUCUUGAUUUGGCUUCUUAAGAAUAUACUGAAAAGGUUGAAUAGAAUAAGAAAAAGAACAUUAGAAAAGAAUGGUGGGUGACUGCCUGAUUUUACUAGUUUCUUAUUGGUCAAUAGAAGUAAUCAUGUGAUGUCUACCUAUAGAAGCAAAUGGAAAAAAUUUUUCUUCUUUAACUGCUAACAAUUAUAUAGGCAAUUUUAGCAAUCUUCAUUUAUUAAUUUGAAUAUAUAAUUAUAACUGUUAUUAAUAGAAUAAGUUUUGGGUAAUAUAGGAAAUAAUAAUUAUUUCUUUCUUUUUAAGCCAAAUUGGAAGUUGAAUCUACUUUUGGUUCCUGUUCUGUUACUUUCAAAAUCUUAAAAUCCUUAACUCAAAAGGGAAAAUGUAUAAUAAAACAGGAUAGCAGUGCUGAAAUUUCUCUCUCUUAGCAGUGGAGUGGGAUGAGGGUGGGGGAGGGAGAUGAAUCUAGUGAGAUAUAUUAAUUGCUUUUUCCCCCUCUUGUAUACUUGGAUAACUUUUGAGAUCAUUUUUCUCAGACUAGCAGCUCUCAAGACUUUUGCAUAAGUAUUUAUUCUUAAAGAAAUAGAAAGACAAGAUAAGCACGGCUCUUAAGGGCAGGUCCUCCAAUAAGUCAGGAAACUGGUGAUCCAAACUUGUGAAUAUGACAAGUCAAUUUGAUUUAAUUAAGGAGUGGCAUUAGUUUUCUUGAAGCACAUGAAUUUAUAGGUUUUUAGAGUCUUGAAGACAGAAAAAUGGCAACAAAGCAUUAAGGUAUUUACAGGUAAUUUAUAUUCAACUGCUAGCUUAUGUUUUCAACUCUGUAUUUCAUGUAAGUAAAUACUUGGGGAGAACAUGAUGAUUUAAUAAUCUGGAUAAAUACUGCCGUGCCUGUUGGAAAAAAGCCUCUAAUUUUUAGGUUUUCCUCAUCCAUUUAAAAUCCAUUGUUUUGAAUGACAAAAUGGGAUAGAAGCAGGUUGGAACAGUAAAUGCUAGAAAGUAUAUCCCAGAAGAAUUAACUGAGAACUUCAUGUUUUCAAUUCUAUUUGCCGUUCUCUGUUCUCAAUUUAUUAAUUUUUAAAAGUACAUCGAAAGUGAGUAGCAUUACUUGCUCUGAAUUCUCCUCUGGGGUCAUUGAGAGUAUUCACAUUUUCGUAUACCCUGUUAAAAGAUAUUAAUGCCAUGCAUAUGCCUUUGUCUUUGUGGGUAUGUAAAACAACAAACUGAAGGGAUCUGGUCAAGAGACAGACCUCAAAAUAAUUUCUCUGAAAUAGUGUUUGAAUUCGCAUGUUCGGGAAUGUAAAUGCUUUCCCUUUGGGCUUGUUUCCUAAGUUUUUGGUGUAGUAUACAGUUUUACCCAAUUAAAUUUUUCUUUUGAGGUCUGUAUAUGUAUGGGUGUCUAUAUUUGAUUUGAAGGGGGAGUUUUAAUCAUUAGUGAAACAAGUGGCUGUUUGUUAGAACCCAGAUAAGCCUCAUAGUGUUGUUCCUAUGACAACUGAGUAGUUGGGUGUUGAAAUGUAGCUUUAACUUCUUGGUUUGGAAAUGUCAUUCAGACCUCCCACUAUAGUCUCAUUGAGUAGGAGGAUAAUGAGAAGGGGAAAAACCAUGAAGCAACAUAAGUAUCUCCGUUCGUUUCAUGUCUUCCUGACUUGUCUUUGUGUACAGGAUUGCCAUGGGAGUGGUAAACAUAGGUCUUGAACAAAGCAAUACUUCAAUAAAAAAAUACAUGAAAAGGGUCAGAAAAGUUGGGGAAGAUAAAUAACAACACAUGGGGGCAAUAAAGAGGCAAGAGAAAUAGGCUUCCAUGGGUUUCUGCAAAUCCUUUAUCCAGUACUGACCAGCAGUGAGAACAUCUUGAACCAGUUAUUGUAUAGCUCUUCAAGAGCUGUGAAUUUCCUUAAAAUGCAAUGUGGAGAAAAUUCCUUUGGUAGCAGGAUGGUUUACCACUUUGGCAUAACAUUUAUUCAUCUCCCCCAGGCAGACUACAGAGGAUACUGUGUUCUUUUAAGGCACAUGUUUUUAAACCAGUUGUUCAUUUGUCAUUUAAUAGCUUUUGUCUUUUUUCUAUGGGAAAGACAAGGUUGUACUAUUAAAAUAGUGAUAAAAUUUAAGUAUUUUAUUCUAUAUUCAAAAAGUGCUUUUGAAAAGUACUUAGAAAAAGAUUGUUUGAGACCUGUUGUUUGUGGAAAUGUCUGUCAAUGGAGAAUCUAUGGAGCACUGUAUUUGAGGAGAGGGAUUGUUCAGACUAAUAUUUGGCAUAGCUUAAUUAUGCAGUUGUUGAUUUUCCAUGUCUGAAGGUCUUCCUAUUUCCUACUCCUAAAUAGUUUUAAGUAUUUAUUUGGUUGCUAGAACCUCCUGAAGUUAGAAAGAAAAAAACUUCAGUGGGGUUAGUCUCUUCAUAAAUAUAUGCCCACCAUCUCUUCUGUAAUCCAAAAAGCUCUGAAAAUCAAAAGAUUUUCAUGUAACAAAUUUGGCAGCAAAUCCUGACCUGAACUGAUGUGAAGCUAAUGAUAGUCUUUGUUUAGCUCGCUCAGAAUGAAUCUUUGUAUGUUUUACUGUAGAAGUAUUAAUGUGUUUGAUCACGGAGUAUUGUUCCAGACUCCCCUAGAGGUUUAUAUACUAUAUUGAAUAGUCAACCUAUUACCUUUAUAAAAUAAUAUUAAUAAUCAAUCUGAGUGUCAGGUAAGCAUUUGUGGACCCAUAAUUACUGACAUACAUUGAGUUCAUAUUAUAUGCCAGGUACCGUUCUAAAUGAAUCACUGGCAUCUAAGAACAGUGUCUGGCACAUAGUAGGUACUUAGUAGACACGUUUUGGUAGGAACUGCUUUACACUUAUUAAAUUAUUUAACUCACAAAAACAGUAUACAGGAAGUAGCGGAGCCAAGAUUUGAAAGCAGACAGUCUAGCUCCAAUCUGCUCUUAAUGAUUCUGAUGCAGGUACAAGAGAGGACUGGAGAUGUGGCACUGGACUUCUUAACUGAGUCAGAGGGGGUGUUUGAGUGAUUUACUUUAUUCAUAGUCACCCUAUACCUCCUACGAUCAAGAGCUGGUGGUAUCACCACUAUGGUCAUUAACUGGGGCUGUGGUUGAAUGCUUAUAACAGGUUCUCCUGGGUGGGAGUGUAGGAAUUCCAGGGGUCUGAACUCUCCUCACAGGCUUCCCAAGGUGAUCUCCAUCAGUAAAUCAGCCCGACUUUUUCAUCUUGAAAAAUUAAGACAUAGGAAAUAACUCUUUCCUUAACCCUAAGGAAGUUUCCUUGAACAGUGGGAAAAACGUUUUUGUAGACAUUCCUUAGACCCCUUACCCAGCAGGAGGUGUGGAAUCAAUAAAGAGGGCAUGGGUCACCUCCAAGGUUGUGAGCUCCCUGGCUUGGGAACUACACUGGGACACAGCAAAGCCUCUUGGGAGAAAUCAGGCAGCCCAUGGAGCUUCAGCUGCAUGACUCUUUGAAUUCACAGAAGGAUACCUUUAACAGUACUUCUCAAAAAAUGUAUAUAAGGCAUGUCUCAAGUCCCUAUAUGUUUCUAGGGAUAAAAAAAUUCAUUUCAAACUGAUGGCAACCUCCCCAUUCUAUUCCCCAGCUUUCUAUCCUUCUUCCUGCUUAAUUUUUCUUCUUAGCACUUGCCUCUGUCUGACAUAUUGUAUGUCUUACUUAUUUAUUCAUUUGACAUUUUAAUUAGACACUAGCAGUAUUGUUUUCUUUGAAUACAUUUAAAGGUCCUAGAUUUAUUUCUUUUUGAUGUUCAUCUUCUAACUCAUUCCCUCCUAUCAAUCUCAGACUGCUGUAAAUAAAUGAUUUUUUGCCUUUUUUUUUUACUAUUAUCAUAUUUAUUUUUCUUAAACAAGCUGUACUGGUUAUACAGUCUGAAUUUGGAGAAUAGACGUCUUCAUUCAGGAGGGGAAAUUGAGCCAAGUUUGAAUAUAAUCAUUGGGUAACAAAUCCAGAAGAUUAAGUUACUAAGGAGAACAUGCAAAGUAAACACUUGCAUUUUAUGAACUACCUUCAAUUUAAAUAGACAACUGGGUAACUGUAUAUGACAUGUUUUGGGAGUAAGACCUGUUAAACCUACCUACUUCCUACUGUUUUCAUUUGAAAAAUAAAUCAAUUAUUAAACAGUUAUUCUACACAUUAAAGACUGUAAGUGAUUUAACCUUGAAUAUUUCCUGACUCAAGUUCUUAAAAUCCUCAACUGUAACCUCUUGUUUUUCAACCCCAUAUUUAUUCUAGUUUAUUCUUUCCAACAUAUUUAGGAUAAUCUAAAACAUAAAGUAAAAAAGCCCCCACAUAUAUUAUUAACUAUAAACAAUGUGGUUAUGUAAAUGCAUCAUUUUAGUCGAUCUUUUUUCUUUAGCCUAGUUCUUUUUUUCUUUUCUUUUCUCUCUUUUUUUUUUUUUUUUUUUUUUUGAGACAGAGUCUUGCACUGUCACCCGGGCUGGAGUGCAAUGGUGUGACCUUGGCUCACUGAAACCUCCACCUCCUGGGUUCACGUGAUUCUCCUGCCUCAGCCUCCCAAGUAGCUGGGAUUACAGGCACACACUGCCAUGCCUGGCUAAUUUUUUUUUAUUUUUUAUUUAUUAUUUUUUUUAUUUUUAGUAGAGACGGGGUUUCACUAUGUUGGCCAGGCUGGUCUUGAACUCCUGACCUCGUGAUCUGCCCACCUCUGCCUCCCAAAGUGCUAGGAUUACAGGUGUGAGCCACCGCGCCUGGCCUAGACUAAUUCUUAAAGGAACAGAUUAGAUACAUAUAAAAGUUGAAUUUAGUAUGCUUUUGUAAGUUAAUAUAAUGAUUGGGACAUUUUGUUUUCUUAGCUAUGCUUUAUAACAAAAUAGUUCUAGUUACUUUCUUUUAAAUGGUUACUAAAGUAAUAACUUUCUUUUUAAAAACAUAGUAUAACUAUUUAAGGUAGACUAUGAAGAGUAGGCUGAGGUUUCAUUUUAAAUUAUCUCCCCUUUCUGCCAUGGAAGAGUUUAAUUCCCCUGAUGUGCUUAUGGUAUUGAAAGCCCAUUGUUGGUGUUGGCAUUGAAAGAAAGCUUAGUUUUUCUGCGUUUCCUAAAAGGAGAGGGAAGAAAGAUUUUUAAAAGUGAAAAUCCAUUGAUUUUUUUUCUUGAUUAGGAUUUGUAUAAUUUAUCUGAAGUGAGACUAGAGUUCUUAAAGUUGAGAGAAACAGUAAAUAUGUACACGCCCGGCAAAACUUUGCAGGGAACAUUCAGAGUUCGGAUUACCUGAAAAAAAUCUUGAAAGCUUCAGACAUUUUCCAGAGAGUGUUAGUGUGUGAAAGUGGUACCCAUGACCCCAAGAGGGUGUCCAUUCACAGCCUCCAUUGAAGUAGUUUACUCCCUAAGAGGCCCAGGCUUUGGAAAUAAGUAGAUUUGUGCUUUAAGCUCCCUUUGCCCCUUGCUAGCUGAGUAAGCUACUCUGCUAUUUCCCUGAGCCCCAGAGUGUAGAGCAUCAGAAGUAGUGCACAGGUUUGUUGUGUGAGAUAACACAUGUAAAGCACAUGCUGUGGAACCUGGAGUAAUGGUGCUUAACACACUUGCAUUCCCUUCCAAAAUCCCUUUAGGAACAGACUUCUUCAGUUUAGUCCUAAAGCCUGUAGAUCCAUGCUAAGUGAUAUGACUUUUUUUCACAUCAGAUUAAGCAAAACACUGAUGAUGGUGACUGUCGCUUAUUGUGCAGUUACCAUGUUCUGGACAGGCACUGUUGUAAGGGCUCUACCUGCAUAGACCCAUUUUUCCUCAUGACAAACUAUUGGUGCAAUUAUCAUGCCCAUUUCAUAGAUGAACACACAGAGGCACAGAGAGGUAAAGGAACUUACUUAGGGCCACUCAUCUGUCAUGGAACCAGAAUCUAAAUCCAAAUAGGCUGUUGCCAGUACAGAUGGUAAGUACAUGUACUUCUGGCAGGAAAGCAGAAUAAAAGUUGACUGAACCUGAAAGUCUCGGAAAUGGUCUUCUCAUUUCUAUUCUGUAAAGUGUCACGUCUUCUAGGCCUACCUCUGUCAAUAUUGAAAUACAAAAUUAACUUUUUCUGCUUUUUAUUUCACAAAUCAACGGGAACAGUCUUAGUCAUUUGUGUUUUAUGAGUUUUAAUUAGGCCACUGCAGUCCAGGAGGGGAAUUCCUUGUUUUCAGUUGAUCUCAUAUACUAACAAGUUUAAUCAUGUAACUUCCCCUAUUUUUUUCUCUAAUGUUUUCACUUGCAAGUGGGGGUGGGAGGGAGAAGUAUGUUAGCAUUUGAGUCCUAGGGAUGCACUUACAUCAACCUUUCUGGAAAUUCCUUCUUGCUGGUAUAGAACUAAUCCAUAGAAAAAUGAAAUGUGUAAGAAUCUGUAUUUACUAAUAUUUUUCUUCUUUAUCUCCAUCUAGUUCUGGAUAUUUUCUGGAGGAUGGGGUAAAACUUCUAGAUAAAGAAGUACAGGAAGCCAUCUAUGUGCAUAAAACCUUAUGUUUGGGUGUGGACUUAAUUUUCAGAAUAUGGGAAAGGGGUUUCACAUUGAGAAUUUCCUCUUUCAGAUGUAGAUUGAGAAUUUUGACUUAGAAGAUGAGGGCAUGUUAUCCUAGCCCGUGGGUUCAGAGUGCUUGGAAAUCUCUUUAAAAAAAAAAAAAAUCCCCUGGCCUUGGACUGAGCCUGCUCUUGGGGGAUUUAUUAAUCAUGCCAGCCUUCAUUCUUUCCUUUGUUUGUUCAUUCCUUCAUUUGUCCAUAUUCUCGCAUAAGUCGUUCAACAUCUACCUGCAAAUAGGUGAAAGAAAGGAUGGGAGUGAGAGUCCGUCAGGGGACGGGAGAGGAGUAGCAAUAAACUCACUCUAUGUUCCUUUCACCUCACUGACUGCAUCUUGUAUCUGAUUGUUUGCCCCUUUGGAGACAACAAUAUUUCACAGACAGACACUCACAACACUCAUGAAGGUCUUUAAGCAUCUUCCUUUGGGAGCCGCAUUUCUUUUUUUAAAGUGAGAGGAGAAAAUGCUUGUGAGGGAAAAACAGUGCAGAGAAAUGGUUUUUCUUUCUUUCUUUUUAAUGUUGGCGGAAGAAGGGUUCAUAGUAGGGAACGUAUCAGUAAAUAUAAUCUAAGAGCACCCAUGCUUUCAAAUAAUUUCCUUGUUUAAAGAUAUUAAGUGCAGUAGUGUUUACAAUUAAUGAUCACAACUAGUUACAGUUUGCUUUGUUCUUUCUCUACUCCUGCUGCUUCACCUGACUACGCUUAUAAUAAAAUAACAUUAAGAGACAACAAAGGCCAUCACAAAGAUGUCUUCAAAAAUAAUUUUAAAAUAGAAUUUUAAUUAAUUUAAAGGUAAGAAGUGUUGCCAUGCCCUCAAUCAAAUUUAUUAUGACUUUUUGAAAAUAUCUCUAAGUAAAUAUAUAGAAAAUGAGGAAUGAACAUAGGGGAGGGCUUUUGGAAUUUAUACUACUAUUCUUUCAAAAAAUAUUACUCGUCUCCAUGUUGCAGUUAGGAAUACGCUUCCUUAAGACAGAGUCAUUAUCUUUACUUGUUAUUUAAGUCUUGAUAUCACCUCCUAUAGUUUUUGAAAGACAUCACUCUUCAAGUUGUCUUCAAUGGCACAAACUAUACCUGUGCAUUUUCUGAAACAAGUUUGACCAUACCAGCAAAGGCAAUGAAAAUGCUUUGUCUUUCAGCAUGAAAUGUGAAGUCUACAUUAUUAGCGGGUAUAUAUGGCCCAAGGGAAGAAAAUGUUAAAGUAGAUUUAAAAACAAAAACAAGAUCACUCACUCUCUAAAAGAAUGUCUCAGUAUUUCAAGGCUCUUCUCUCUCUCUGUGUUAAAACCAAUAAGGAGGCCUCAGGACAAGUUAGGUUGAUAAUGACAGUGAAUAUCUACCUUUCUCCCCAUUCCGUUUGACGUCCAUACUCCAAAAGACCUUCCCUUAUUUUCUAUGCAUGGGUAGCAGGGAGAUUAUAGAGAAACUGUUCUUUUUCCUGCUUUCUUUUUUACUGCUGGGGGAGUGAUCACUUUCCUACAGCUCUUGUCCACCUGGCCCUUGAGGCGUUUGGAGUUUUGGUAAGGUGUUAACAAAAAUUGUCUCAGGUGCCAACUAAAUUUCAUAAGCUUAUAGCAGCACAACAGACUAAGACACCACAUGGGAAAUGUACAUUUUACAAAAAUAUAUUGUACGUCUACCAUGUCUACCAUGUGCCAUACAGAGUUCUGGGUCUGAUAAUACAGCAGUGAAUAAAGUCCCCGCUCACAUGGAGGGGGUAGGCUGAUGGUGAUGGAACUCAUAAGUAUACAGCAGGUGUUAGUAAACACUGCAGAGAAAAAUAAAGCUGUGUCAGAGAGAGAGUACCUGGGGAUCAGGGGUAGAGCGACGUUAACCAGGGCUAAUAGGAAGGCCUCUUUGAUAUUAUCAGGCCAGUGAGGAGUCAGCUGUGGGAGUGUCUGGAGGAAGAGGAUUCCAGGCAGAGAAAAUAAAAAAGUAACUGCAGUAGAGACGGGAGCAGGCUUUGUGUGUCCAAGAGACAGAUCAUGGCAGAUCAGGUGGGACUCUGUUGGCCACAGUAAGAAGCUGUUUGGAAGGUAGGAAAUGAUAACUAGAGAGAGUGAAGAUGGUAUUCUGAGAGUCUAUAGAUUUAUUGUAGGGAUCCCGGAGAGUCGAGCCCCUUGUGCCUCAUAACUGGAGUGUUUACAAGCCGUGUAAGGCCUUCUUGCAGUAAAACGCUACUUUUGUAAUUUAAAUUAUUAUGCUAUGAAAACCUUAGCAAAGAUAGAUAAAGUUGAACUAUUUGAAGCACAAUUACAGCUAAAAAGCGCAAAGUGGGCAAUUCUUGCUAUCACAUCUACUCCUCAGAGAGAUGUGGGGUACCUGAAUGUCUAACUGUGGAAUGUUUUGAUUUGAUUUAAAUUUGCCAAAAACUCAUCUUCCAUAAGGCAUAUCUUUGCUGAUUUUUGCACUCAGUACCAAGCAGUUUAGAAUUUUGAACUGAAGGGAUUUUAAAUCCAUGUUUCAAGUGCUUUCAUUUUAAAAUAAUUCUUAGUUUUAUGUUCAGUCAGAUGAUAAGCUCCUUUUUAAAAUUCUGUAUGAAAACUUACUGUUUGGUACAGGUUAAGAAGUCUUGUUAUACAGUACUUAUUUUAUUGGAGGUACAAAGAGAGUGUGGAAAAAUAAAGGCAAUUGGCCAGGUGGGAAGGGUAAAAUUGUUUUAUGUACCUUUUCUCUUGUAAAGUUGUGUUAAAAACAUUUUUGUAAUUUCUUAAAGGUAGAGUUGAUUGCCAUAAUUUGAUUGCAGCCCCCUGUCGUUACUUCACUAUUAUACUCUGAUACUAAAUGCCCCUUACUAAAUGUAAGGAAAUGGGCAAGUUCUGUCAUCUGGGAGUUUACAUGUUAAGAGACAUUGCACGGGUGAGAACAGACAUAAAAUGUAUAUGUAAUUAUAUCGACAACAUACAGGGCUUAGAAAGGAGCUUGAUAGCCUUUUAUAGGUGUCGUCCAGGUUUAUCUUACUUGAAAUACUGCCUGAGACUCUAUACCUAAUUCUUAUCACAUAGCCUGACUUUCUAUUAGUCAGUGAUAGAUUUGGGUUGGGUUAACCCUCAUAUUCUUUUAGCAAGGGACCCACCUGCAGAAAAGAGUUAUUGGUUUUGUCAUUUAUAGUUUAGUUCAACAAGACCGGAUUUCCUCACCGCCUUUGGCUGAAACUGACUGACUAAAUCAGUUUCACUUGUGGGGUAGAGAAAUGAGUAAUUUGGGAACAUAGAGUGUUGUGUGGAGGAGAGCUUAGUUUGCUCCUCUUCAUCCUCCCCUUAGGUAAGAAGUCUGCAUUGAGAGAGGGAGAAAGAUUUGGGACAUCAUGGGGAAACUGACCCCCUUGGGUGAGCCACAUUGGGAAUUAAGAGAAAGAUGUAAAAAUGGACCAGGAGAGGAUGUACAGAAGCCCCAGGGGAGCCAGAGAAUUUCUGGUCCUAAGCUCAAGUGUCAGCCUCAGUUCUGCCUAGCAUCUUGGACAUGCUGUCCCUGCUGGCUUAUCUCCUGUAAGACAAGGGGCAUACUCCUGACUUACUGAGCAUUCCAUCUCAGAGGAGCUGGGAGGACAAGGAAUUCAGGAAUGGACUUUCAAGACAACAUCUAACCCGAGUCUUCUGCAGACAUUUCUCUACUGAAUCUACUUUCUAAGUGUAGAUUAAUGUCUAAGAGAUAGACAUUAAGUUUCUUUUUCUACCAGCCUCUGACCCCCUUGCUUUGAGGAAAACACAUGUGUUGUCCAUGAAGUGGUGAGUUCUGUUUGGUCCUUCCUCUAAGAUUGGUCUGGGGCUUGAGCCGUUUUGCCCCAUGUGCUCUGGGAUUUCCCCCAGUUGUCCCCCCAUAUAAGUAGACAACUUGCUGUCUGUGUUCUAAGACCUUCAUAUUUUUCCCUUUGACUUGAGUCUGUUCUGGAACAAUUGUGUGGUGGCUGGGCACUGCAAAAUGAGUCAGUUCCUGCAGUUUGGUUACAAGUUCUCAAAAAGUAUUUCAGAAUGUGGAUGUGGUCAGCAGAGUCAUUUUCCAGACAUCUAAAAGGAAACCCACAUCAACUGUAACAAUUGAGCUAUGAACCGAUGGCUCUACACAACAGAAUGGGGCCUGCUUUUCCUCAAAGCCUGUAGGUGCCCUCAAAUCUAGCAUUCUCUAUGGAUCGGAAAGGAGAAUUCAUCUUCAUGCUUGUAGAUCACAUUUUAUCUGUUACUGUUGACAUAAAAAAAUGCGAUAGAGGUUUUGGCCUUCAUCACCUUUUGAAUGUGGGCACAAAUUUGACAUAAGAAAUAAUUAGUAAAAUGGAAUCUAUGGGAUUAGAGUAUAAUUAGUGCAAAGUGUGAAAUGUGGCUUAGGGAUAGACGCUUGGGUAAUUGAACUAAUGCACGAAAGAGAGGUUAAGAUGGUUUGGGUACCGACAGAGUACAUUGAAAUAUGCUUAUUUGGUUUACUAAUAGUCUGAACCUGUGCAGACUUAGCAGCAAUACUGAUAAAAUAUCAUUAAAUCCUUUUCAAGCUUUAAAAGAAGUUCAGAUUUGUCAUAACAUUUGGAGAAUAUUUUCACUCCACACAAGUUUUGGAAAAUAAUCUUUGUGAAUUUUUUUAUCCUCUCGGGUAUCAUGAAUUGCAAAAUUUUGUUGCAGUUCUCAGUUACCAGUCUUGCUCCACUCAUUAAAACUGAUGGCAUUUUCAAUAAUAAGAAAACAAAAUUUAAAAAUGGGUAAACGAUUUGAACAGACACUUCACCACAGAAGAUACGCAAAUGGCAGAUAAGCACAAGAAAAAAUCUUUUCAAUGUCAUUAGUGAAACAGAAGUCAAAACCACAGUGAGGUACUGCUACACACCUAUCUGAAUGGCUAAAAUUUAAGAAGCCAGCCAUGCCAACUGUUGGUAAGGAUGUGUAGGAUUUAGAACUCUCAUGUAAAAUGAUACAAACAUGUCAAACAUACACCUGUCAUAUGAUUCAGCUGUUUCACUCCCAGAGAAAAGAAAGCAUGUGCUCACCUGAAGACUCGUACAUGAAUAUGCAUAGUAGUUUUAUUAGUAAUAGCUAAAAGCUGGAAACAAUCCUAAUGUCUAUCAACAGGUAAAUGCAUAAACAAAUUGUGGUGUAUCUGUAUGAUGGAUACUACUCAAUAAUAAGAAGGAAUGAACUAUUGAUACCUUCAAUAACAUGGAUGACCCUAACCCAUGAGAGUCAUAUCAUAUGAUUCCAUGUAUACAGAAUUCUGGAAAAUGUGAAAGCAGAUCAGUGGUUACCUGGGGUAGGGGAGAUGGGGGUGGCAAGAAAGGGGUUACAAAAAGGCCCGAGAAAACUUCCGGGCUGGUGGAUAAUUUCUGUCUUGUAUUGUUGGUUUCAUGGGUGUAUAUAUGUCAAAACUUACCAAAUUGUACAAUUUGAAUAUGUGCAGUUUAUCGUAUGUCAGUUAUUCCUUAAUUCUUAAAAAAAACUUAAAAUAAGAAAUCAUUGUUAUAGUAGAUGGAAGGCUUUAAAAUGCCCUUAUUUGGCAAAAUCAGCAUUUCUUGGGGGGAGGGGGGAACCUGAUAGAGUUUUAAUGGUUUGAGGACAGAAAUACGACCUUCUAGUACAGAUGAGAAACCAAAGUUAAACAGUGAACAUAAUAAAUGGGAUCUCUUUAGUCCCUUUUGUUUACAAAGCAUUUGAACAAGUGGUUCAGGAAGUAUCUUUUCCAGCAUGGUGGUUCCAGCUGCCUGCCCGACUUCUAAGCAUUAGCACUUAAACAAACUUACUGUAGCAGUCUACCGUGCAAUGUGGCUAAGACAUCCAAAGUUCCUGUGUUCAGAUUGCAAAGAUAAGACAUGAAAAUCCCCACUUUCAGAUUCUAUCAUUGUUGGAGAAAUAAAUCUCUCAUAUUUACACAGUGCAUGAAAAUUUAUGUAUUUCCAGCUGUAUUGAGGUAUAAUUGACAAAUAAAUUGUAUAUAUUCACAGUGUGCAAUAUGAUGUUUUGGUAUAUGUAUACAUUGUGAAAGGAUUACCACAGUCAAGCUAAUUAGCAUAUGUAUCACCUCACAUAGUUAUCUUUUGUGGUGAGAAAGUUUUAAGAUUUUCUCUCUUAGCAAAUUUCAGGUAUAUGAUGUAGAAUUAUUAACUAUAAAGUAUUUUCAUAAACCUCAUCCUGUGAAAUCCUUUCAAUGGUCCUAUUACAGGUAGGGUCAGUAUUAUCCUCGUUUGCUUUGGCAGCAAACUGAGACCCAGAGAAGCCAAGCUACUUGGCCAGGAAUACAGAGCCCCCAUCUUCUUGCUCAGAAAUCACCAUUCUAACUACUACACUUUGCUUCUUCCUCAAACUAUUGUCAUUGAGUGUUUGGCUAAGACUCUUCACUCACCAAUUUGUCAGGUAGUUAUGAGAGUUCCUUUUUAAAAAUAUGAGAUGUUCAAGAUGAUAAUUCCCUCUAAUCCUCUGUUUCCCCGUUUCUAAAUGGGUAAUAACACAGCCACCAGCUUCCCAAGUUUGUGACGCUUACACGUGGAAGAGUCAUGAAAAGUGGGCAACUCUGUGUACCCAGUGGGUGUUGAUGUUACUGUGUGACUGCCCUCUUUGUUCCUGGGUUACUGAUGACACAGUACUGAGUGGCUUUGCAAACCCAACAGGGAGACGUAGCAGUUUAGUUACAUUAGUUGCCCUAUAGCUUCCUUCAGAAUUGGAAAGUUGCACAAUAAGAAAUCCUAUGUACUGGAUUAUUUUAAAUUCUUCUUUAAAGGACACUAAACCAUCAUUAGUUGGGUCCCAGAGACUCACCAAACAGAGCUUAGAGGCAGAUGCCAUUGAGAUUUACUUAGCUAACAAGAUUGACCCAUGUCUGGCAUCCUCCUUUUCUCCUUGGUUGUGUUGCCUGCACAUCUCUCCUCCUUAUUCUUCAUCAUUUUCGAUGGCCUUCUCUCUUCACUAGCCCUCUAACACACUUUGGAAAAGUUUUGUUUUUUUUUUUAAAUAACUAUUUGAUGUAUUGGCAAAAUGAGCAAUUUUCCUGAGAGUUCUCUGUCCCGACUGGCACUUCUUUUUUUUUUUUUUUCUUUUUUCAUAUAUUGAUUUCUUUUAAAUUAAAUUAAAUUUUUUAAAAUUUCUGUUGAUUUUGGGGGAACAGGUGGUGUUUGGUUACAUGAGUAAGUUUUUCAGUGGUGAUUUGUGAGAUUUGGGUGUACCCAUCACCCGAGCAGUAUACACUGUACCCAAUUUUUAGUGUUUUUUUUUUGAGACAAGUCUCACUCUGUCACCCAGGCACGAGUGCACUGGUGCAAUCUCGGCUCACUGCAAGCUCCGCCUCCCGGGUUCAUGCCAUUCUCCUGCCUCAGCCUCCUGAGUAGCUGGGACUACAGGCACCCGCCACCACACUCGGCUAAUUUUUUGUAUUUUUAGUAGAGACGGGGUUUCACCGUGUUAACCAGGAUGGUCUCGAUCUCCUGACCUUGUGAUCCGCCCACCUUGUCCUCCCAAAGUGCUGGGAUUACAGGCAUGAGCCACCACACCCGGCCCCAAUUUGUAGUAUUUUAUCCCUCACCCGCCUCCCACCCUUUCCCCGAAGUCUCCAAAGUCCAUUGUAUCAUUCUGGCACCUCUAAAACCAGACAUGAUGUUUUCUUGACUUCGGCUUGAGAGUUCCAAUUUCUAACUCUAAUGGAUUUUAAUCUUAGAAAAUCAGGGGAUAUAAUCAUAUGGGAGUGCAAAGAGUAUAAAAUUUUGUCUAAGGAUGACAAUCAAAGGGAGCCCUAUUUUUUUGUUUUGUUUUUCAUCAAAUCCUCGAAUUUAUUCCAUCCCUGAUUCCGUGGUCCUUCAUGGCAUUCAUAGGGGCAGCUGUGAAGAAAAGUGGUAAUGUACCUGACGACUCUCUCCUGUCGGUGUCAGGGUUGCAUUUACUAUUACUGAUCCCAGUAAUAGGAUGAGUUUGAUCUCUCAGCAUAAAAAGAAUGACCGUAUUAGGGAUUUGUUUGUUCUCCAGACUACAGAAAGUUUGAUAACCAGAGUAGGACUUACUGGAGAGAUAAUGUCAGAAUGAAUAGAGACUGUCUGUGAGAAAUUUCAACGGGCUCAGUGCUGUUACCUACUAGCUAGAAAUGGGAAGCAAGGGGAUGAAUGUGAGGUUAGGGGCAUUGAGUCAGGAAGAAGAUCAGGCAAUUCUGGAGCUAGGUAAAUUGGGAUCAUUCCUGGCUUGUCACAUCUACGUGGGACAUUUAGGCUAUCCAUGGGCUGGAUACCUUAGGAAAGUUCCUUCUGGCUCUGGGACUCACUGCUCUUUCAGCAUUGCCAAUUUACAUCUAGUGUGUUCUUGUUAGAAGUGGAAGGCUCCUCUUCAUUUCUGAGCUCCUUGCGCCCUGUCAUUUUCUCUGUAUGAGAGGGUUUUGCUAUUCCUUUUUGAGUGAAAACGACUCCCAUAGCAUAUUGCCAUUCACACUCCACCAGGUGUCCCCUUCACACACACACACACACACACACCAUUCUCUUGUCCUCCCUGAGCCAGUCCUUUCAAGGUUAUAUCAUCCUUUAGUGCCAAGUACCUCCCCUGACCUCUUUCUUCACUCAUAGAAAGAGGAACCAGAUUUCCCCUGUGUGACUGCCAUCAAUACAAACAGCAGUUUUGUUUCUGUUAUUUCCCCUUUCAACCUAGUGAUAAAGUUUGCUGUUGCUGCUCUCCCCACCCCGCACAGGAAGAAAGACUUCCUUCCUUCAUCUCUUGACUUUGCCCAGGCCUAUGAAUAAUCUUCGCUUUGUCAUGGACUCCGGAUGCUCACCUUUUCUAACAUUUUUUUUAAACCUCCAAGAGUUACUCCUCAGCCUCCUUCCCUUCCCCACCUUCUGGUUUUCCCUACCUGGUAAACUUCUUAUUCUACCUAGUUAAUAGUGGGCGCCCAUGAAGCUCUUGCCUCAUUGAUGAGUAUCUGGGCGUUGGGCUUCCCUAUGUCCAUUUUCUCUUCUGAUGUAUUGACUGACGUCUCUCUCCCUGGCUCUUUUCUCACUUGCGGUGGUGCUCCCUCUUCAAUAUCCUGCUUCCUUUUUACAUUCCAGACUGUCAUGUUGUAGACCAUCUCCAAUUGUAAGCUGAGUGCUUGAUAUUUUGCCAUUUUCCUCUUUGUUAGUGUUUUGAAUCCUAAUUUUGAAUCUGAUUUUUAAUUAUAUUGAUGGUGUUUUUCUAGAUACUUAUAUUUUGCUCUAUAGAACUGUCCAUACAUUGUCAAAAAACCUUCCACUGUCAGCACAAAUACAGUCCAGCAUCAACCAAUAAGGAGAGAAGAAGGGGGUAGAAGGAUGCUGUUGUGCUAUUAUCAAGGCUUUGCAUGGUCCUUGGGGUGUACUGAGUUAUUUCCUCCAAAACAGUUGAGGUUUCCUUACAACCUGUUGAAGAACUGAUCACACGUCCACUAUGUGGCAGCCACUCUGGGAGCAAAUACUGGACUUGUAGGUUAGGUCUUUAUACUGUAGUCUUUCUUCGUAGUUUUAAAAUAUCUAUUUCCCCUCUUUCCCUUCGUUUAACACAUUUUAGAACAUUCUUUCUUUAAAAAUCUUAAUUAGCGUUUCCAUUUUCUCUUUGUUACACAAGUAGAAUCCAUGUUUUCAUCCUGUUCCUCUUUGCUGAAGUAUGUGUGUGUGUGUGUGUGUGUGUGUGUGUGUGUGUGUGUUUUGUACCUGAUAGGUCGGUCAUCAAAUAGCAUCUGCGGGAAAUACAUUUAGCCCUUCAUCAUUUAAAAAUCAUUUUUAUUAGUCUUUCCGAAUCUUCACACUUCUUCUGCUAACUAUCUUCCAUUCUCUUCCAUUGUGGUGUGAGCUAUUUAUAUAAGCCACUUAAUUUUAAAAGUCCACAUACUGUCAUAGAACUCAUAAUAAUUGAUACCUAAUGUGGUUGAGCUUCUGAUAACCAUCAUAAGCAAAAGAAACUGUAUAUAUGGAUGUUCUCUUUCUGGUCUUCCCUCAUUACCUGUUCAUUUGUCUUAGUUUUAUCAUUUUACUGGAGUAGAUUUUAUUUCCCUGAGGACCCUUCUGUGCUACAAACCUGUGAUGGUACACAAACACACUCUAAGACAGUGCUUUCACUAGUCCAUACUUCUGUUAAAAGGAACAUACACUCUUUUACAAAUAGCAUGAUCUUAUAAGCACCCGCAAAUCUUACAGAAAGCUACCAUAAAACUAAGAGAGAAAGCAAGAAAUGUUUAAAGGAUGAAGAAAUACAAGAGUUUCCCUGAAUGGAGAUAGUCUUCCACUGUGUGUGUGUGUGUGUGUGUGUGUGUGUUUUGUUGUUUUUUGAAAUGUAUCAGUAUAGGUGUCAGGCAUUUUACUGUCUAUUCACUCACAUUUCUUUAUUUGACAAAUAUUUACUAAAAGGUGACUAUGAUCUAGUGUACUAUGCUGGUACCUGGGGAAUCUCAAAAUUAUGGUACUGAUUCUUACCCUCAAAGAGCACAUAUUCUCACAGGGAGACACAUUUCUAAACAAAUUGAAGAGCAACGUGUCUUGUGUUUCUGGCUGAGACCACAGACUCAGUGAUCUGGGAACCAGCCCCCAGUAGUAUGCAGCUAACUUUCCAGAGGAAUCCAGGAAGGUCCCUUAGCAUCCUAUAAGAGAGCUGGGCCUUGCAGGGAGGGAAGUGCUUGUCAGGCAGUGUUCAGAAGCCAAAUUUUGCUCCUCCAUCAGUCCAUCUGAAGAGAGGGAAACUUGAUGGGAAGAUUCAAGGAAGACGACACAGAGAAUUUUGUACCAUAAGAACAUUGUAUGACAAAAGAAGUUCUGUACAGUGCCAAAAGCAGAGGCUUGGUAGAGAUCUGAUUAUAAAUGGAGAUUGCAAUGGUAGACAUGUGUGAUGUUGAUGCCUUCAGAAAAUAGCACAAGGCUUAAAAAUGAGACCAAAUCCACAGAAAGGCCUCGGUAAUAGUAUAGAGUAGUAAUGGGUUAAUUGUCACUAAAUAAGUCUCUAAGUCAUGAAUUCUUGAGAGAACUGACUGGUUUUUCUACUGUUCACAAGCUCAGAGAAGUUACUUUAUUUUGACGUCCUUCUUUUAUUUUUACUUAUCAUUGAUGGAAUGCAAAUUAUUUUCCUCUUUCUUUUAUUUAAAAACGACAAGAAUUCCUCACCAUCGUUGCACACUGCCGACAUUGUAUGUAGAGAAUGCCUUAGGGAUUUCUUCCAGAGUGUGGGGAGAGGGACAAAGAGAGAUAUAUAUGUACAUGGAUUUAGGGCAAUCAAUUUCUGAAACUUGUCCAUAAAAAGACUGUUUGUUACUUAGGUUAAAACUAUCCUUUUCCUCUGAGUGUUUGCAAUGAGUAAAAUGCUUCAUGUUUUCAUCUAUUGAUUGUUUAAAAAAUGUUGUUUUUCGUUGAGAAGGAUUAAAGGCAUGCACCUAAUUGUUAAAUAUUAGUUUUUAAAAAACUAGUCUGAGUCUGUCUUUAUGGGCUCUGAGUGGUUUCACCUUUAGAAGCUUGUUUUAGGAUCUUGUGCCAACCAGUCCCUUCUCAGGCCUGUUCAGACUAGAAUUAUCUGGCAGGGGCAAUGUCUUUUAAAAAAAUGUCUUCAGCAGGAACGUCCCAGAGAAUGUUCACCUCAGUCUUCAAGUUGGCUUGCGGAGCAAUUUACUAAAUAGAGAGAUGUGAGAAUCAAGUGACCAUCAGCUGGUAUAAAUGUUUUUGGUCAGUGUAGUCACAGGAUCUCAGGUAUGCAAGAGCUGGACGGGUUUCAACCACGUGCCCGGUUAUGGUGAUACCCUGGCUCAGUUGCUCUAACAUAACAUAACACAGAAGGAAUCCAAGUUCAUAAGAACAUACUUUAAUUAGACACCUGUAUUUAAAAGGCUGAUUUCUCCUCUAGCAUAAUUUCACCCUGUGGCGCACUGUGUAUACAUGGGUGCAUUUCUUCCCUGGCCUACAGUUAGAGUUAAUUGGACUUUUUGUUCUUAACGGUGUGGGAGGCAGUUUUUUUUUAAAAAAAACAGCUUUAUUGAAGUAUGAUUGAUAAAGAACUGCACAUAUUUCAUGUGGAUAAUUUCAUGAGUUUGGAUAUAUGCAAACACCUAUGAUACCAUCACCAUAAUCAAGGUAAUGGAUGUAUUCAACAUCUCUCAAAGUUUCAUUGUAUCCCUUUGGUUUUGUGUCUGUGUUUGUGUAUAUGUUAAGAAUCACUUAACAUGAGAUAUACACUGUGGGUGGCAGUUUUUGUUCACUUCUAAAGUAAACUCUGACUUCAUUAGAAUAGUGGACUGGCUUAUGAUCUGUCAAAUCCCUAAACAUGAUUAUGAUAGAAUUUGACUCUAUUCCUAUUUAGUUACAGAAAACUACUGGUGCAUGAACAAAAAUAUGUGAAAUAUCAUGGAUGGGGUUUGGGGGGACAUGUGGGGCCAGACUUUGUGAGGUUAUAGAAAAUCAUGGAACUGGAAAGCAUCUGGAAGUUCUUUUACUCAAAGAAGCAUAGAUUCUUUCACAUUUGUGUUAAAAACAGUGAAUUAGACAAUUUCGACUUGGUAAAGUUAGCAUUCUGGCAAUGCUGUGAAAUUGUUCAUCUCUCUUCAUUUACUUCCACAUAUAGUCCCUAGGGUCAAAAUUUCUUUCUAAAAAUGAUAAUUUCUAAAGUCAGAGAUGCUUUUUGGGGGCAAAAUAGAAUUGUCCAGGUAAUCAGUUUAAAAGACAGAGUAAUCCUACUCUUCCUUCAGUAGAAUGACGCACGAAGCAGCAUUUCUUUCAUUUCCAGUAGAACUUUGAUGCGAAUGUGACUUUUAUCUCUCUCAGUGUAGCUUUAAACAUCAAUGGGUUUCUUUACUUCUUGGUUUGGUGUAUAGGUUGCCCCUGUUCUAACUGUGUGGAGUGUAAGCUCUUCAAAUUCUAGGUUAACAUUUCAAGAAAUGGUCUUUAUCCCAGUUCAAAGCAGGCCUUCCAACAGCAGGUGGCAGGCUUAACUUUUAAUAGUCUUUCCCUCCCUUUAAACUCUUUCUCAUACCUCAAAUAAAUGGUCUUUAGCCAGAAUGUAUGGGAGUUUUUGUUUAUUAUUAUUUUUGUUUUGUUUGUUUGCAGUGUGACUAGGACUUGAGCAGAAGUACCUUGGUUACAGUCCUAUCACUCACCCUUGGGGCUUAGUUGUCAUCUUAAUUGUUAGAUAACAGAAUUAUAUAACUCAACAUUUCUAGUUUGAACCUAUUUCUUUUCUUUUCCUUUUAUUUCUAAACUGAAAAUGCAUUAUUGGUUAAUAUUCUAUGGUGUUAUAUAUUCUACAUAUUCUAUUCUUUGUGUUUUUAAUAAACUUAAAAACUGUAUAGUAUUGUUUAGUGGUUGACACUAAUUUACAGAAUAACCUUUAAUAAAAUUUUAUUUACAGAUUUUCCUAUUUGUAUUACCUAGAUUAAAUUUAAAACAAGGGGCAAAAGACCACCUUAACUUUAGUACUAGGAUGUGGAGAAUAGAUGAGAAUUAAAAAUUUACCUUUUCUCAUCUAAAUGUAAAGAUUUAUAAAAGAUAAUCUUUUGUAUUUUGGCAUUGAAAGUGACCACACUAAACCCUUGCCUCAAUUUAAUUGUUAGUCUUAUUCAUAAAAGUAGAGUUAUGAACAGUUAGUGUUAGUGGUUUAUGAAAUGUAAGUUUGUGUGUUCUACAAAUGCUUUAUUUUACAUUGAGGGUAAGACUUAGCCAAACCUAUGUAAACGGUCUUUUCCCCCACUUCAGUAUGUAUGCUCUGGUUUGUAGGCAGUGCCAAAAUAUACUUCAUAGAUGGGAUUGGCCUUAACUUAUUUAAAGAGAAAAAAAAGCAAGCAAUCAAAAAAACCCCUGCUUCACCUUGUAAAUUCCACCCUUAUCCUCCCCCACCAAGAGCUAACCACACUGGUGAAGCACUAUUAUUAUAAUUUGGCAAGUGAGUUGCCUCUUAAAAUUAGACAUCUGUGAUUAAAUAGUUAAAUCAUUCCCUAGAUAUGUAUAUAUUUAGAGCUCCCAGAAAGCUGGUUAUCUUUUCUUAUAGCUAACACAUUUUUAAAAAGCCACUUUUCUCUUGGUGAUAAAUAUGUGUGUGUCAUACUGUGGUAUAGCUACAUGUCCGAUCAAAUGGUACUAGUUUCCAAUUGACAGUAGCUUUAUUAAAUCUUUUCUAAGUGAUAGCUGAAGCAUUUUAAAUUCAUAGUAAAGGAUUCUAAGACGUGUACUUGGAGAAAAGUUGCAUAGUCAUUUACCUUCUAGAAUAAUCCUAAAAGUAGGAAACAAUAAUUGGCCAUGUGGUCAUGUGCUAAUAAAAGAACACCUUGUCCAAGAUACCAGGCUUUUUCCUGUUUCAGUGCUUUUUGUUCUGACUCUUGCCUCUCCCUGUGGUGUCCUUUCCUACCCCAGGUAUGUACAUGAUUCUUCUCCUCCUACUUCAGGAAUCCACUCAAAUGCCAGGCCCUCAGUGAGGCUUUUCCUAGCCACCUAAUCGAAAAUAGCAUUCCUCUUAACUGUUUCAUUACUCUAUGAAAUGACCAUCCAUAUCUAUGGAGGUUUUUUUCAGUCUUUUUCUACCCUUUCCUUAAAUCUUAGACUUAAACUUCCGUGAGUGCAAGGAUUUUGUUCAGUGUUGCAUUCCCAGUGCCUGGAAUAAAGUACGCAGAAGUAUUUCAGUAAGGUACUGAAAGGUACUUAUUGAAGGUACUCAGUAAGUAUUUCUGGGGUGGAUAAAUGAAUAGUAAAGAGAACACCAAUCCUGUGACUUACUUUGUUACCUGCAUUGUAUCAUGGGAGGAAAGCUUGGAACUGACAUAGUAGUGAGCACCUGCUUUGAAUAUUUGUUAUAAUAUGCAUUUUCUGUAAUUUUCUUUGGUGUUUGAGAUAUUUGGUAAAAUAACUGUAUUAUCCUCAGUUCGUAACAGGAAAGAAUUUUUUAACUGCAAUUUACUUUACAUAUGUGCAUCAUUGUUAGAUUACCCAAGUUAAAGUGACAGGAAGCAACAAAAAUGCUCCAAGCCACAAUAAAAUCGUAGAUUGGUUUUUUGUUUGCUUGUUUGUUUUUCUCUUGUGUAUAUUUCCAUUUUACUGCAAAACAUACCAAAUAAUUGAUUGUAGAUUUUGUCACAAGGAAUCAUGUAUGCUGUAGAAGUAUAGAGAUUUUCCACUUUUUUUGUUUGCUGCUGUAUCUCCAGCACCUAAGAAAAUAUGUGGCACUUUAUUUAAUGUCACUCAGUCAGUAUCUGUUGGAUAAGUAAAUAAAUCCAGAGGUUGUUUAAAAUUACGUACAUGGGAAUAUUGUCAAAAUGUCAAUUCAUGAUCCAAAGAAAAUGUGCAAUUGAAAUCUGAUAUCUUCUUUUUUCUUCCACAGAGCCCCUCCCGAGAAGGCAAAGGAUCACCCAGCUGCUGGAAGGUGUAGGUACCCUCAAUGGCUCAGUAGCCAGUGUAGAUCCUGUCUUUCGUAAUCAGCAGCUACAUCUGGCUACUGGGUCUCUGAUGGCAUCUUCUAGCUUCUGCUUCAGUGCCCUGAGAGAGAUUAUUGGGCAGUCUUUAAUAAUGAAAACUUUACCUUGAAUUACACACACACACACACACACACACACACACUCAUACACACACAAAGAGAGAGAGAGAGACAGAGAGAGAGGAGAGAGUCAAGUUCUAGGGUGUUAAGUCCAACAUUAUCAGCUGGGGCUUGGGAACCUUCAAGGUUUUAUGAAUGAUGAGGUCUAUUUGCUUUCAAUACUACGAGGGGGAGGAAUCUGGAUAUUUAUCCAUGUUUUACCUCUUACCUGUUUUUGUUUUACCUCUUUUUUUCUCUUUCCCCCCUAUGAAAGGUAUCAUUUAGAUAGAUCAAUCUAUUCAUCUAUCUACCUACCUACCUAUCUACGCCUACCCAUCCACCCAUUUAUCCAUCCACCCAUCCAUCCAUCCAUCCACCCACCUGCCCACGUACCUACCAGUUUAUCUAUCCGAUCUUCCUUCCAUCCAGCUUUUUCAUCUCUUGACUUUUAGAUGGCAUUUUCAACAUGAUGUCAUGAUUAAAUGAUGACAACUUGAUGAUAUGAUGGUUUAAGGAAAUUUUGUUGGUAGUAGGUAAGUCCCAGCAUGUCUGACUGUUGGUUUUCUUUUCCUUGUGGUAGAAAAGACAAAUGCCAAUUUUGAAAUCUUGAAUGCAGUAGGCAGUUGUGUUGAAAUAGUACGUGAGAAUUACUUGCAAGCUGAACAUCCAGGUCUGGGGCAUGAACCUGGCAUACAAUGUAGAUUUCUGUGUUCGUUAGGCAACAGCUACAUUGUCUGCUGGGUUUCAGGCUACCUGGAAACAUGUUCUCCAUUGGCUGUCUCACCGAUGCUACCCCUAUAAUGUUUCUGAAUAACUGUUUUCCAGGAGGUAUAAACCAGUGGAGUUUAUCAUUGAAUAGAGUGCAGAGAAAGGACCGCAAGAAAGCUGAUCACCUCAGCAAUGAAUGAUUUCAAUACGAUUUCACCCAAAUGGUCUCACACACCAGCCUAGUAAACCAGAGAUAAGGUGUAAUGUCAUCCUUCCUUCCUUCUCCCUGCCUCAACUGUCAAAGAUUGACAACUUACAUGUUGUUUACUUUUUGGCUUCUAUUUCUGUUCAUAAUUAUUAUCAGAAGGCAUAGCACCCACAAGCCUAAUCAUACUGCCUUACAACCUUAUUCCUCUUCAUUUUGUCUUCUCACUUACCUGCAGAAACCCAGUUUAUUUUUGUUCUCCCUUUACCACACCAGCCUUGUAACUGUUAAGAAUGACCCUCAAUCUCACUGGAAUCUGAAUCACUCAGGAAUUCAAGCAAACUGGAUGUUUUAACCACUGUUCAGCUUUCUUAUGGAAUGACAGAGAACCCGUAAAGAUAAAACACCAGUUUGCAGGAAGAAAGGAAGAGAAUGGAAAUUGCUUCUGGAAAAUACUAGUUUUACAAUAUGUUUUGUUUGUCUGCUCUCUUAAAUAAACUUAAUCCUAUAAACAUUUUUUAAGAACUAGCCAUUAAGACUGUUAAGUUCUCAAUUAUAAAGGAAUAAAAUGUUUUAAGGAGGAUUUAUUUGCCCUUGCUUAUAUGAACUGCAUAUUUUUAGUAGGAAAUCAUGUAAUUUAAAUUAGUAUUGAUUAACAGAUUUAAUGUAGAAAAUGGACAUAUAAAGAAUACAAGGAUAAAUGUCUACAUGUAAUAAUGGAUGGUAGUGAUAUAAUGCAUUUUUGUCAUCCCAUGCUGAAUUCAGUAAAAAUAAAGCUAAUGACUUGGAGCUUUUAAAAGAUUGUA